rnacentral:rRNA from 1 species
GUCAUAUGCUUGUCUCAAAGAUUAAGCCAUGCAUGUCUCAGUACAAGCCAAAUUAAGGUGAAACCGCGAAAGGCUCAUUAAAUCAGUUAUGGUUCCUUAGAUCGUACCCACAAUUACUUGGAUAACUGUGGUAAUUCUAGAGCUAAUACAUGCAAACAGAGCUCCGACCGGAGACGGAAGGAGUGCUUUUAUUAGAUCAAAACCAAUCGGUGGCGGGUUCGCUCGUCAUCGUACAACUUGGUGACUCUGAAUAACUUUACGCUGAUCGCACGGUCAUCGCACCGGCGACGCAUCUUUCAAAUGUCUGACUUAUCAACUGUCGAUGGUAGGUUCUGCGCCUACCAUGGUUGUAACGGGUAACGGGGAAUCAGGGUUCGAUUCCGGAGAGGGAGCCUGAGAAACGGCUACCACAUCCAAGGAAGGCAGCAGGCGCGCAAAUUACCCACUCCCGGCACGGGGAGGUAGUGACGAAAAAUAACGAUACGGGACUCAUCCGAGGCCCCGUAAUCGGAAUGAGUACACUCUAAACCCUUUAACGAGGAUCAAUUGGAGGGCAAGUCUGGUGCCAGCAGCCGCGGUAAUUCCAGCUCCAAUAGCGUAUAUUAAAGUUGUUGCGGUUAAAAAGCUCGUAGUCGAAUUUGUGUCUCGCGCCGCCGGUUCAUCGUCCGCGGUGUUAACUGGCGAGUCGCGAGACGUCCUGCCGGUGGGCUUAGCUCGCGAGGGCGGCCCAACUCAAUCCUGCCGCGGUGCUCUUCAUUGAGUGUCGAGGUGGGCCGGCACGUUUACUUUGAACAAAUUAGAGUGCUUAAAGCAGGCUAAAACUUCGCCUGAAUACUGUGUGCAUGGAAUAAUGGAAUAGGACCUCGGUUCUAUUUUGUUGGUUUUCGGAACCCCGAGGUAAUGAUUAAUAGGAACGGAUGGGGGCAUUCGUAUUGCGACGUUAGAGGUGAAAUUCUUGGAUCGUCGC